CCCUUAGAUGUCCGGGGCUGCACGCGCGCUACACUGAGGGAAUCAGCGUGCUAGAAAACCUUGUUUGACAUGGCUAGGUAGCCCGUUGAAAAUCUUUCGUGAUUGGGAUCGGGACUUGCAAAUGUGUCCCUUGAACGAGGAAUUCCCAGUAAGUGCGGGUCAUAAGCUCGCGCUGAUUACGUCCCUGCCCUUUGUACACACCGCCCGUCGCUGCCCGGAACUGAGCCGUUUCGAGAAGACUGGGGACUGCGAACUUUGGGCUGGAAAACAGCUUUUUGUUUGUGGAAACCACUUUAAUCGCAGCGGCUUGAACCGGGCAAAAGUCGUAACA
rnacentral:rRNA from 1 species